ACACAUGCAAGUCGAGGGGCAGCAUGGUCUUAGCUUGCUAAGGCUGAUGGCGACCGGCGCACGGGUGAGUAACACGUAUCCAACCUGCCGUCUACUCUUGGCCAGCCUUCUGAAAGGAAGAUUAAUCCAGGAUGGGAUCAUGAGUUCACAUGUCCGCAUGAUUAAAGGUAUUUUCCGAUAGACGAUGGGGAUGCGUUCCAUUAGAUAGUAGGCGGGGUAACGGCCCACCUAGUCAACGAUGGAUAGGGGUUCUGAGAGGAAGGUCCCCCACAUUGGAACUGAGACACGGUCCAAACUCCUACGGGAGGCAGCAGUGAGGAAUAUUGGUCAAUGGGCGAUGGCCUGAACCAGCCAAGUAGCGUGAAGGAUGACUGCCCUAUGGGUUGUAAACUUCUUUUAUAAAGGAAUAAAGUCGGGUAUGCAUACCCGUUUGCAUGUACUUUAUGAAUAAGGAUCGGCUAACUCCGUGCCAGCAGCCGCGGUAAUACGGAGGAUCCGAGCGUUAUCCGGAUUUAUUGGGUUUAAAGGGAGCGUAGAUGGAUGUUUAAGUCAGUUGUGAAAGUUUGCGGCUCAACCGUAAAAUUGCAGUUGAUACUGGAUGUCUUGAGUGCAGUUGAGGCAGGCGGAAUUCGUGGUGUAGCGGUGAAAUGCUUAGAUAUCACGAAGAACUCCGAUUGCGAAGGCAGCCUGCU
rnacentral:rRNA from 1 species